rnacentral:sRNA from 1 species
UUGGAAUGACUGGGAAACUCAUCAAAUCUAUCUAAACACCGAGGUUGCUUCCCUCACCAAUGGCGGGCCACGCCCUUGCAAGUCUGAAAGGAUACUACAAGCGGUAACCUUGAGUCGGUGGAUUACAAAGGUGGGAGAGCACUCAAAUCCUGUACUUCGGAGUUUUAUCGCAUCAAACCAACACGGCC